AAAAACAUUUUACCACACCUGAUUUGAAGAGCGGGUAUUGACAAGUGCAGUUAGAUGAAGAAAAUAAAGAGAAGACGGCCUUUGCAUGUCAUAAAGAUGACAUACACAAGGGAUUUAAUCAGGAACUAUGCCAGGAAAUAAGGAAUAUAAAUAUCAUCUUAUGGUGGGACUGUAUUCAUGUUUAUCGAUAAUUGAGGAAAAGCCCCGUGGAGUGGGUGAAGCUAUAUAACACUCAACGGCAAAUCACCAAGGAUUGAGGUUUUUCGGAGAUGGAGGCCCGGGAAAUAACCAUCUCUGCGCUGGAUACCUAUACCAAAAAAAUAGACUCAAUGAUCAAUUGAAGCAGUGUUUCUUUUAUCCUCCUAGCUUAUUUAAAUAUUUUGCUAUGACCACAGGAACACACGAUCAAGAUUUAGCCUCUUAAUUACUUGCUUAAAGUUAUGUUAACAUUGUAUUAACUUUUAAAUAAGACUGUGUCGUUGAAUAACAGACUGUAGUGAUUUAUAUUAUAUCAGAAAUUAUUUUGUGUAUUUCCAGGAUGUUAUCACAGUUUAUUAUAGAACUUAUUAGCACAAUUUAUAAUGGAAUUUGUUUACUUAAAUAUUAAUUUGUUUGUUUGUUAGUAAAUUAGUGUUAUGUAUGUUACCAUAUAAAGAUACUUGACGGCACUUUUUACUGAGAGUCACUAUACGAUCCUCCUAUACACAAUAAACUUUUUAAUAGACAAUCCAUGCCUCUUAUUGGCUAACACGUGUUUCGAGCGAUGAAUUGUUUAAUGCUUUUUAGUAUACAUAGUUUACACAAUGUAGAAACCAAGGUUAUGUUGUAGAGAGAAAAAAAAUCCAUUGGUGCUGCAGAAAAUGGAUAUCGAUUUUUAAUGUACAGUUAUGUUUAAAGAAAUCCGGUCGAUUUUGACUUACUAAUAUAUAUCGUCUUUAUUAAGCUUCAUAAACUUUGACUUUU
rnacentral:sRNA from 1 species